rnacentral:lncRNA from 1 species
UGGCGCUCCGCCCCCUUGUCCCCGGCUGAAUCCCGCGAGUCGCUGGGCUCGGGAUUCCGUUGAGCUGCUGGGUUGGGCCGGGCAGUCUGAGCUCGCUCUGUGACGGGCCGCUGCGGAGGCCAAGGAUAAAAGGAAUAAUCGCCUCUCAUCUGACGUUACACAGAAGAAACCUGGUUUAACGUGAGAAAACUAAGUAACUUUCCUAAAAUGUCUAAGUGGGAGAUCCCGACGUGAAGCCAAGGCUGACUCCCGAGGGUGUGCUCCACCACACCCAACUAAUUUGCCAUUUCUGGAACUCUUGGCUCUGCUGGAAAUGAAGAGAAGCUUGUCUUAGAAGAGAACACACAGCCAGGUUUGAGGCCAAGGCCUUUGGAGAAUUGAAACCUUCCCUGCUUGGAGGGAGACUUCGAUCCUAAACCUUAGAAACACUGGAUUGUGGCCAGAAGAGGUCAAGUUCUGAUUAACUUCUCCAUAAUUAAAAGAAGGAAAAAAAACCUUGAUGUCUGAGUCAUCUGUUUGGAUGCAUAGAGGCCACUUACAGAUGAGGAGGAAAGUGAAACGCAACCUGGGUGUGGUGGUACAUGCCUGUAAUCCCAGCACUCCAGAGGCUGAGACAGAGAGGAUUUCAGUUCAGCCUGGGUAAUUUGGUGACUUAAUGAGACCCCAUCUCAAAAUACAAUGUAAAGGAAAGGGCUGCUCAUGUUACCUUUCCUGCUUUGUGCCCGCUGUGUUGUUUCUGUUCUGCAGUGCUUGUUUGCCAUCCCAGCCUUGGAGCCAGCUGAUUAUGGACUGAAACUUCUAAGAACUGUAAGCCAAAUAAACCCCUUCCCCUUAAAAAAAAAAAAAAAGAGAAGAAAUAGGGCUGAAGGCUGGGUGUGGUAGUGCACUCCGGUAAUACCAGCAGUCUGGAGGCUGAGGCAAGAGGAUCACUGUGAGUUCAAGGCCAGCUUGGGCUGCAUAGCAAGACCUUGUCUCAAAAAAAAAAAAGGAGAGAGAGAGAGAAAAGAUGGGAAUUGCUUCUGGAGGCUAUACAUUCCCCAAAGUAUUAAAAAAAAAAAAAAAGACUCAAAAUGUGCACCUUAGUGCAAGGCCCUGGGUCGAGUUUUAAAACAAAAAACGUUAAAGAUAGUUGUAAGACAGAAGACGCUGUCACUGGGUGCUCAAAUGAAACCCAGGGGCCUGGGGUGUGGUGCAGUGGCAGGCAAAAGUCCCAGAUUCCACCCCAGCACCUUGCACCCACGCGCACACCCACAUGCACAUGCACAGAAACCGAAAAUGCGCACACUUUCUGCCCACAGCACCCUCCACACCGGCCUCCUGGGCUGGGGAUUUACCUCAGUGGUUCAGGCGCCUGCCUCGCAAGCGCAAGGUCCCGGGUUCCAUCCCUGGUACACCGCCCCCCCCCAAAAAAAACUACCACACCGGCCUCCUCCCCAAGCCCAGUGCAUCUCCUGUAGGGUGCAGGAGGGGCAGACCUCAGGCUCCACGAGCCCAGGACACAGGCUUUGUGAGCUCCCCUGCAGGGCCUGCCACACAGCAGCAUUCUCUGCAUCUCCAGUGAGUCUCUGGUUUGGUUGGCGGUUUCGCCUCUCAAGCCCUCAGCAUAGACCAGGUGAAUGUGUGUGCCACACCUUUGUCCAGGUACGGCAUCCUGGACAAAUAAAAUAUUAUUAUUAUUUUUUGAGAUAGGGUCUCGCUAUAUAGUCCACAGGCUGGCCUCGAACUCAGGACGAUCCUCCUGCUUCAGCCUCCCAAGUGUGCACGACCACACCUGGCUCCUGGAUGUUAAUUUUAACAGAUACAUGGUGUGGGGGUGUCAGGUGUGUGUGUCUGUGCCUGUGGAGCAGGAAAGGAGAUGGUAAUAAAAUGUCACAAUGUGAGCCCUCCUAAAAUAGAUUAUUGAGAAGUCCCUGUGCACCAAAGUUAGGUCAUAUAAAAUAUACUUUGAGCUCAGCAGCACAGCCUUGGAAGCUUGAGGUCCUGAGUUCAAUCCCUGGUACCCCCCCCCAAAAUAUAUAUAUAUAUUAUAUAUGUUGAAAAAAUACAUACUUUGGGCCAGGGAUUUAGCUCUGUGGUUCUAGUGCCUGCCGUGUAAGCACAAAGUCCUGAGUUCGAUCCCUGGUACCAAAAAAAAAAACCACACAAAAAAGAAAAUAAACAUAGAUACUUUUACAUGUUUUGACCUAUAUGUGUCCUGGAUUUACACCUAAAAUGUUCUCUGAGCAGGAACCUUAUUUAUCUGUGUAUUUAUAUAUAUUUCUUUGUAGUACUGGAGAUUGAACCCAGGACCUUCACUGAGCUACAUCCCCAGCCCAUUUACAUUUAUUUUUCAAAAAUUAUUGUUCAGUUUUUUAAAAUGUUAGCUGGGUGUGAUGGUGCACACCUGUACUCCCAGUACUUGGGAGGCUGAAGAAUGAGGAUCACCACAAGUUCAAGUCUGAACUGCUCCAAAUAGUUCAAGGGACAACCUGAAAUAUAUAUUGAGACCCUGGCUCAAAAAAUACGAAGAGGGAGAGAGAGAGAGAGAAAGGGAGAAAAUAAAAAUGAUUAUUAACCAGGAAUGGUGCCGCAUGCCUGUAAUCUCAGCAUUUGGGAGGCUGAGGCAGGAAGAUCAGUGGUAAUUCCAGGCCAGCCUGGGGCUGCAGAGUGAGUUCAAGGCCAGCAAGGACUACAAAGGGAAACCCUGUCUCCAAAAAACAAAACAAAAAAGAAAAUAAAUGUUUAUUAGUACAUGUUUGCUGUUUACCAUGGGGAGUUAGUACAUGUAUGUAACACAUCAAUUGGGUUUUUUAAAAUAAAUUUUAUUUUAUCCCAUUUCCCUCCCUCAAGGCAUCAAUUGUUUUGUUUUGUUUUGGUUUUGGUUUUAUGCACACUGGCCUUGAACUCACAGCAAUCCUGCCUAAGCCUCCUAGACGCUGGGAUGACAGGCCUAUGCCAUCACACCCUGUUUUUAAAUUUUUGAUACAGGAUUUCAAUUGCCCAAAUUGGGCUCAAAUUGCAAUCCUCCUGCCUCAGCCUUCCAGAGUACUAGAAUUACAGGGGUGUGCCAUCACACCCAGCUUGUGUGUCUGUUUUUUGUUUGUUUUGGUUUUUGGUUAUUUGAGACAGAGUCUUGCUGUGUAGUCCAGGCUGGCCUUGAAUUCACUGUGCAGCCCAGGCUGGCUUCCAACUUGCACUGAUCCUCCUGCCUCAGCCUUCUGAGUGCUGAGAUUAUAGGUAUGUGCCACCAGAAAAAUUUUUGCCUGCCACCAGCUCCUUUUCCUGCCUUGUUUAAAAAAAAGAGAAGAGGGCUGGGGAUUUAGCUCAGUGGUUCCGCCUCCUGCCUGGCAAGCGCAAGGACCCCAGUUCGAUCCCUGGUACCAAGAAAUUAAUUAAUUAAUUUUUAAAAAAAG